GGCACCAAACUCCAGCUAACUCCACCGCUAAAAUUAGCUAACUAGCUUACAGUAGCAACGGCUAGCAGAUGUUAGCGGUGACUCUUGUGCUAGCUGCCUCCUGUUUCACUCAGGUACCCCUCCACAGCGAGGCUACUCUCAGAAGACAGUCCACCUCUGACCCAGCUCCUGUCACAGGUGAGCUCACCUGCUCUGAUCAGCUCCCUCUAGCCCCUCCCUCCCUCCCUCCCUCCUGACACAACUGUGACUUCUGCACGUUCACAUCAGACAACAGCCUGUUUAUGAGAGGAACACAUCUGAAGGAGUGUGUUGGAAUGCGUGCAGCCUCAUGUUGACCACAGAGCCUGCGCUGUUUCACAUGAAGACCGCGGGACCUCAUCACGUGUGCGUAAUGUCAGUACUUUACUCUUCAAUAAGCCGAUAUUUGACGACAUUUAGUCAAGUGUGCACCAUUUAACGUACGCCGAAUUAACCACAAGCAGCCGGUGUUUUCAACGCAUUCACGGAUGUAGACUUGAAUAUCACCGGAUUAUUUUGACAGUGAAGAAAACGUAAAAAUGGGACAUUUUUAAGGCGAGUUCUGGAGGCGAUUUUUUUACCCUACAAUUUCCAAGCGUUUAUUUGUUCGUUUGCUGGCGUUUAUUCGUGAUGGACGGGUGCAACAGUGACGGAUGGUAAUUACUGUGCGUCAGAUCGCCUCUUAAACCAGUCUGACUGGAUCAGCUGUGAACAUCAGGGGACAAAACUCACAGAAGCACCAGAGGAGAGGAGAAGACCUCCAGCUGAGCUUAGGUAGACGAUGGCGUGUGUGUUGGCUCUUCUCGUCCUGUCCCUCCUCCUGAUUGGUCCGUCAGCCUCACUUCCAUCUUCAGGUGACGUGUCAGAGGGGGCGGAGCCGGCCUCUCACUGCCCGCCGCGCUGGCUCCUGUUGGGGCAGAGAUGCUUCGCUUUCUACCCCGUGUGGAGCUCCUGGAGCUCUGCUGAGUCCAUGUGCUCUCAGACAGGGGGUCACCUGGCGUCCCUUCACACCCCGGAGGAGAGGCUGUUCGUGGGUCAGCUGAUGAGAACACACACACCUGUGUGGCUGGGUGGACGCCGGGCCCAACAGAACGGCUCCUGGGUUUGGACUGACGAUCAGAACCAGGAAGAGACCGGCGAGGGCGGGGCUUGCAUGCAAAUGGACCCAAUAAGUGGAGAGCUGCAUGGCGCCCCCUGUGGAGAGCUCUGGUUCUACAUCUGCUCCACCGCAGCCAGGUCUGAAGACUUCCAGUCACCAGUCAAGUCAGGUCUCGCCCCCAAUGUGAGUCUGUUCCAUGCAGUGUGGGGUAAAAACGACAUGUUGGCCGAGGAGAUUCUCCGCUCAUCCUGCUUCUUCCAGGAGCUCCGGUCCGGUCGCCUGAAGCAGCGCUGCUACAGCAGCUUCAUGCAGCAGGAGGCGCUCUACCUGCAGAGAGUCAGCAGCAUGCUGGAGGUCAGAGGUCGUCAAUGUCGGACUGCAUCCUUUCUUUACUUCUGUCUUUUCAUUUCUUUACUUCUGUCUUCUUUCUGUUUUUCUUUCCUUCUUUAUUUCUUUCUUUUUUUUCUUUCAUUCUUUCUUUCUUUUCAUUCUUUCUUUCUUUCUUUUCUGUUUUUCUUUCUUUCUUUCUUUUCUGUCUUUCUUUUCUUUCAUUCUUUCUUUCUUUCUUUUCUGUUUUUCUUUCUUUCUUUCUUUUCUGUCUUUCUUUCUUUCAUUCUUUCUUUGUUUCUUUUCUGUUUUUCUUUCUUUUCAGUCUUUCUUUCUUUCUUUCUUCCUUUCUUUUCAUUCGUUCUUUCUGUCUUUCUUUUCUUUUUUCUUUCUUUUCAUUCUUUCUUUCUUUUCAUUGCUUUCUUUUCUGUUUUUCUUUCAUUCUUUCUUGUGUCUUCUGUUUUUCUUUCUUUUUCUUUCUUUCUUUCUUUCUUUCUUUCUUUCUUUCUUUUCAUUCUUUCUUCCUUUCCUUUGUUUCUGUCUUUCUUUGUAUUUCUUUGUAUUCUUUCUUUCUUCCUUUUCAUUCAUUCUUUCUUUCUUUCUGUCUUUUUUUUCAUUUUCUCAUCUUUUUUUUUAUUUCUUUUCUGUUUUUCUUUCUUUCUUCUUUCUUUCGUUUCUUUCUUCCUUCCUUUCUUUUCAUUCUUUCAUUCUUUCUUCCUUUCCGUUCUUUCUGUCUUUCUUUUCAUUCUUUCUGCCUUUCUUUCUUUUCAUUCUUUCUUUCUCUCAGAACUUUUUUUUGUUUUUUAUUAA
rnacentral:lncRNA from 1 species